UACGAAGGGUGCAAGCGUUACUCGGAAUUACUGGGCUUAAAGAGUUCGUAGGCGGCUUUGCAAGUCGGGUGUGAAAGCCCUCGGCUCAACCGAGGAAUUGCGCUCUAAACUGCAGUGCUUGAGGAACCUAGAGGUGAGCAGAACAGAUGGUGGAGCGGUGAAAUGCGUUGAUAUCAGCUGGAAUACCGGAGGCGAAGGCGGCUCACUGGGAGUUUUCUGACGCUGAGGAACGAAAGCCAGGGUAGCGAACGGG
rnacentral:rRNA from 1 species